ensembl:lncRNA
GCAUUGACAUUUGGCCGUUAAACGCUAGUAAGUAGACAGUUUACUUUGAAAUUUGAGAGAUCCAGACCGCGCGCCCUUAUAGCAUAACGCCUAUAAACCUUCAUAAGGUUGAUAUAUGCGUGUAUCUGUGUAUAUUGACGCUUUGGCAAUAACGGAGCAAUAAAGCUCCUGGAAUCUCAACCUUAAAAAGAGGAGGAGGAGAGAGAGAGGGCGGGAGACAGAGCGAGACAGAGUCGGAUUUAUCAGUCGCUGAAAGCAGAUUAAACGGUUAAACUGAAGUGCGUCUCGAAACUCCCAUCGGACUAACCAGCCUUCGCUUUAUUUAUUUACCGUCCCAAAUGAGUGUUCUGUCGGCGCAAGGCGAUGGAUUGUUCACGAAAAUGUUAGGCUACUCUUCGUGUAAGAGCUGAGGACACCGUGGAGAUCCCAUCAUGGCAGCAAGCAAGUGUCCAUGUCUGAUGCAGAGGACCACUGGAUCAAGAAGAAAACAAAGCACCUGCAAACUCUGGAAUUCAUUAUUGAUGAAACAAGACUUCUAAAUCUUUCUCUUUGCUUAAAGUAACCUGCAAAUGCAGUGCCACUGGAAUGCAGAUGGAUAGGACAAAAACUUCAAAAUCCUUCACACUGCAUAUAGUUUUUUUGAGCUAGCCAAUGAAAUCAAUUCAUUUAAUGUUAGCUGUCGAACUAACUGACUGAGGCAUCGGAAUGAUGAGUAGACUCAAAUGAGCAAACCAGUGCUGUAAAGAAUUGGUGAUGCAGUCCAAGGAAAAGUUCCUCCUCAAUGGGAAAAUAUAUAAUCUGACUCUAAGCCUGUUGAAGGAUCUAUUACUGGCUGGGAUCCUAUGACAGAUAGACUAAGUGUACGUUUUUAAGCUAUUUAGCAUUGCUCAGUGCUAAUGUAUAACAUAGUAAGCACAGUCUGCCCUAACUGGUCCACUACCCGUAAUCCUCCCAUGUGAAUGUGAAUGAAUUGCAGACAAUUCUUGCGUUAAGUAGUUCAACCUAGCCAUUAGCGUUAGCUGGCCAUGCUAAUGAUAGAAUACAGCCAUUAUCUCUCAGAUAGAGAGCAUGAGCAGACCUUUUUUAUGAGGGAACAUGGGCAUGAGGGGGAAUUAAACCCCACUCUACAGGCCACUAAUCUAAUAUAGAGCGAAAGAGAGAGAGAGAGAGUCAGAGAGAGAGAGCAUAAACUGAAAUGUUUCAUUUUGAAAUUCAUUGAAUAUGGGCCCCUAUUCCAAUGUUACAACACAGAUUUAAUUUCUGGAUCCAUUUUAGUGAUCUAGCAGUUCACAGACUCCUAACUAUAAUUGAAUCUCUCUAUCUUUAGUAUAUGAAAUAAUCUUAAAGGGAUACUCCACCCCAAAAUGAAAAUUUUGUCAUUAAUCACUUACCCCCAUGUCGUUCCAAACCCGUAAAAGCUUCAUGGCUUGUGACUGUCCCAUAGACUGCCAAGUAAAUUACACUGUCAAGGUCCAGGAAAG